CCUACGGGUCGCACCAGUGGGGAAUAUUGCACAAUGGGCGCAAGCCUGAUGCAGCCAUGCCGCGUGUGUGAAGAAGGCCUUCGGGUUGUAAAGCACUUUCAGCGGGGAGGAAGGCGUUAAGGUUAAUAACCUUAGCGAUUGACGUUACCCGCAGAAGAAGCACCGGCUAACUCCGUGCCAGCAGCCGCGGUAAUACGGAGGGUGCAAGCGUUAAUCGGAAUUACUGGGCGUAAAGUGCACGCAGGCGGUCUGUCAAGUCGGAUGUGAAAUCCCCGGGCUCAACCUGGGAACUGCACUCGAAACUGGCAGGCUAGAGUCUUGUAGAGGGGGGUAGAAAUCCAGGUGUAGCGGUGAAAUGCGUAGAGGUCUGGAGGAAUACCGGUGGCGAAGGCGGCCCCCUGGACAAAGACUGACGCUCAGGUGCGAAAGCGUGGGGAGCAAACAGGAUUAGAUACCCGCGUAGUC
rnacentral:rRNA from 1 species